GUGCUUGCUUUGGCAGCACAUAUACUAAAACUGGAAUGAUACAGAGAAGAUUAACAUGGCCCCUGUUCAAGGAUGAUAUGAAAAUUCGUGAAGCAUUCUAUAUUUUU